rnacentral:sRNA from 1 species
GUGUGUGUGUGUGUGUGUGUGUAAAUCAACUUUACCUUUGAUUGGGCUCUCUCCCAAGCUUGUUUUCUGCCUCUCCCUCUGCCUCUUGUUCUCCCUCUGAAGCAGUAUCCUACCAAGUAGCCCAGGCUCAUGUUGACCCCAUAAUCCUCCUGUCUCAGCUUCCAAGUCCUGGGCAUGUUUUCCCUGAGAACUUCUAGAAAUAUAUGUGUAUCUUUAUUUUUCCUUUGUUCAUAGUCAGCACUGCACCAGCACACACACCCGUUUCACACUCAGCAGUUUAUUUUGUAACUCAUUUGCUACAAGUUGAUGCAAAGCUUCCUCAGUAUUUUUUUUUUACUAAAGUAAAGCAAUUAAUUUUUGCUAGAUUAUAGUUAUGAACAAAUCACUGAGCAGGAGUGGAGAGGCUUCAUGACAUGCUUGCGUUAUGCUCAAGCAGAGUGGACUGCUCAUUAGGCUUCCCAGCAGGCAGGGUUUGAGCCUUCCUGGUGAGGAGGUAACUGCAGUUUCAGGGUGGUAGUCAGCCCUUCAGUUCUGUGUUUUCAACAAUAGGUGGCACCAGCCAUUUCUGUAUUGGGGCUGUGUGGAGAUAGAAAUCAUGAUCACUUUUCAUUUCCUAUCGUUUUAUUCACAGAUUAUUAAGAGCAAAGAUGUGCUUAGCAGAAAGCCUGGAGGCUGGCACCUGCAUGCUUACAUCCAGAGCCGAUUAAGAAACACUUUGUGGGAAGAAGAUACCUGUGACUCGAAGCUGCUUCCCUCUUCUCACCCCAGCCUGUGUUUGUAGCAGUCGCUUAGUGAGAUAAGACAUUUAGUUAGCACAGACAUACUCUUUGAUGAUCCGCACAGCCAGUAUGUACGUGAAAUGUAUCUUUCCCCGCAUAUCUCUUAAGAAUGGUUUUCGUAAUUUCGCCUUGUGACGCAUCGGUGGAUUGGCCACUGCGUGGGGCUUUGUGUAUUCUCAGGACUUAACCUAACUGGCACUCACUGUUUUUCUUCUCGGUCUCUGUUCGAACCCUUUCCCUCGUGCUCCCCGUUGUGUGGGCCUGGACCUCCGUGAACAUUUAAAACACAGCUCUUCAAAUCGAAUCAUUAGCCCCAGAGAGCAAUUCCUUCCCUUUUCUUUUCAUUGCCACCUGAAAAUUCCCUCCACCAAUUUCUAAUUUGCCUUUCAGAAUUUGCCUUCAUUUCUGUGCCUGGCAAUACAAGGCUUUGAUUACUGCAUAAGUAGGUGAUUGUCCUGGCUGUUCCCCUUCUUGUUCUUUUUAAGUACGGGAAGAAUAAUUCUCCAGCUUCAGAAUUAAAAAGAAAAAAAAAUCAAGCCUAUACUGUGUUGUCAACAAGCUUUCCUGAGUGUGUCACACACACACACACACACACACACACACACACACACACACACACACCACACACGUGCACACGCACACAUCCUUCCGAACGAUGGGGUGCCAGAUAGAUUCAGAGGCAAGCAUGUGACGUGACACGCCUCUGUACCCAUCGGGACCAUGCCGAUGUUGGAAAUAGCAGAGCUGUGCUGCUUUUGGUAUGAACUGGAUCAGCAUAGCUUCCCUCACUCUUUCCCUCCUGAAGGCUCUCCAUACCUCCUCGGAUUGCACCCGGUGUCCUGCCUUGAGUUGGUCUCACAAUUUUACCUGUGGGUUUCUGUCUACACAGGAACUUUUGAUCCUCCAGGAGUCCCAAGCAGUUCUGCUGUGCCUCAGUGUGCUAAAACCUCUGAUUCUUCCUUUGUGCUCCAAGAGCCUGGUUCUUAGAUUCAGGGACUCCUUCGAGCAUCGAGCUAAUUAUUUAGUCAGUGGUCAGAAUCUCAUGAACAGAACCAAACACCACAGCCAUGUACUGAAUUGUGAGUAUCCGAGUGUGUGCGUGCCAUGUGCCUGGGCACGCCUGGGUAGAGUCAGAGGACAGCCUUCAGUGUUCAUCCUCAGCUUUCACCUUGUUUGAGACGCAGUCUCUCAGGUGGUUCACUGCUUCUUAGCCAAGCGUAGGCGGUCUGCAGACCUCCAGUGACGUCUGUGUGAUGGCUCUGGGAUUUCAGAUAUUCACACCACGGCAGCCUGCGUUCCCACGGGGUUUUAGGAUCUGAACUCAGGCUGUUGGGCGUGUGCAGCCCUUUACCCACUGAGCAGUCUCCUCUGUUCCAGAGUUAGGGAUAUCCUUUAUGCUCCAAGCUCUAAAGCCGCUCUGGUUCAAAAGCUUUGAAGUCAACAUGUAGUCAAAGCUAGCUUUGAACUCACGACGCCUCUCCUGCUUCAGCAUCCCAAGGGGCCUGGGAUUACCAGCAUCGGGUAACACAUCUGGCCUUGUCUCACGUUUUACAUUGUCCUAUGACAGCAUUGCAGCUGCACUUAAUACAGGCCAUGGAGUCCUGGAGUUUUGGUACUUGGGGUGGUUUGAAUGAGAAAUAGCCCUCAUAGGCUCAAGUGUUUCACUGUGUGGAGGGUUGGGAGGUGCGACCUUGCUGAAGGAAGAGCCUCUCUGUGGUCGGGCUUUAAGAGUUUCAUGACCUCACUGUAGCUCUGAUCCCUUCUGCUUGUGGUUGAGAGAGUGAUCAUUUAGUUUAUUGUUCUGUCUGUCAUGCCCGCUUACUUCUUCUGUGCCUCUCACAGUGAACCGCUCAUCCCUCUGGCACCAAGCCCAAACAACCUUUUCCUCCUGUAAAUUGUCUUGCUCUGGGUAUUUUAUCACAGCAGCAGAAACACAGUUAAUACAGUCUCGACUGACUGAGUAGUUCUUCUAAUUUUUACUUCAAGAUUAUCAUUUUAGAUUUAGAUUUAACUUUUCAAAACUUUGUAGCACAACAUGACCUAGAACCAACCAUCUUGGCGAGUCCAGUUGAUUCAGCCGUGUAUUUCUGGGACUGAGGAAGGAAACCCACCACCCACCCAUCGCAGCAAGGAUUACCUAAUUAACUGAUAGAAGGUGGAAGGGGAAAAGGGUGUCUGGCUGCCGGCUGCUGGAGACCAGGAAGGGAGACUGCAUGGCUCCUUCUGCACCACACCCUGUGAGCGAGCAGAGGGACCAUCUGCUGUGACAGCCGCUCCUGUCUCAUCAGUCCACUUGCUGCCGCUGCUGCAACAUGCACUAGGCUCUGCCUCUUUCAAGCUCCAGCUCUCAUCUGUACAUGUGUCUGGGAAGCUCUCAUCUGUACAUGUGUCUGGGAAGCUCUCAUCUGUACAUGUGUCUGGGAGGCUCUCAUCUGUACAUGUGUCUGGGAAGCUCUCAUCUGUACAUGUGUCUGGGAGGCUCUCAUCUGUACAUGUGUCUGGGAGGCUCUCAUCUGUACAUGUGUCUGGGAAGCUCUCAUCUGUACAUGUGUCUGGGAGGCUCUCAUCUGUACAUGUGUCUGGGAGGCUCUCAUCUGUACAUGUGUCUGAGAAGCUGCACAGCUCUUAAAGAUGAGUCAUUCUGAUCUUCCGUGCGGACUGAUAAAACCAGAGAGGUUAAUUUUUCUAGAAAUAGAUUUCACACUGCUCCAUAGUGGUGGUUACACUUUGUGAGGGGUACCGCAUGGGUGUGGUUGACUACUACUCAUUGGCUUGGUGGUCUUCCAUAACUCAAGGUAAAUCUCGUAACUCCUACCCCUUUUUACAGUAGAGGAAACCAAGACGUAGGGAUGUUAAGGAGUUUGCACAGGUCCCGCAGGUGGGACAUGGGCAGAUUAAGAAGGACGGGUUCUCGCCUUCAUACUCUGCUGUCUCCAAACUUUGAAAUACUCUAAAACUCUACUUCAGAAGGGAGCACACAAACAUACAGUUUCUUUAUCUGGACCCCUGCUUAGCAUUUAGGAGCUGCUUCUCCCUGUCCAUAUUGAGGGUUGGUUCUGAGUGACAGAGGUCCAGCCUGGCAAAGCACCCUUCAGUCUUCUCUGGGGAAAGGCGCUGAUGUUUCUCUUCGAGUGCUGCUUCGCUGGCUGUUUCCAUCUUUUAGCCAGCACGUUCACUGUGAUGAUUCUGUGCUGAACAUGGGGUAUACAGUUGUUAAAAAGGCACACAUGGACCUAUCACCCUGGAAUCAUAUAGACUGAACGCUCAAUGUGAAUAUGAAAAAAUUAACUAAGCCAGAGUUGCAUUUACUUCUGUUCAUUAUUGUCAAGAGACUGGUAAACAGGAUUAACUUGAGUAUCUAUUGGAGACUAUUUUGAACAAAGACACUUAACAUGAAUAUAUUGUUUCAUGGGUAGGGAAUUAGUAAUUCAAACCAGUAGAGGUUUGAAAUUGAUUAAAGGGAAAUGCUCAGAUUCUUGAAUAAUGAUUUAAAUAUGCUGAAACCUAAUAUCCACAUAGUGCAUGGUUUUAGAUGCUAGGCAACACUGAAAGGGUGAGCCAGGGUAGGUAGCACUAGCACAUACUCUCGCAGCUGUAGAAUGUUGAGGUAAUGAAUUUGUGGCUUUCUCAGACCCUCUUCCUCAUUUUUUCCCAAAGAGAUUAAAACUCAGAGAAAAGGCAUAUGCAGUCUCUCCUCCAACUCCCCAAUUUCUGACUCGUAGUAUGAAUAGACAGACCGGUUUACUCAAGGUCUCAAGAGUUCAAAUUGUGAACAUUUUGCCCUUUCAUUUAUUAGCAAUGUCAAUGAUUUGAAAAUUAAUGUGAUUUGAGUUUCAUAUUUCCUCCCCUUAGAUGUGGUUGAAGUGCUAUGAGUUCAUCAUGAAUAAGGAGUUAAAUCUUCUCUUGAGCCUGCCUUGUGAAUUUCAUUCUCUACUACUAAAUGAUCUCACCAGAGCCAGUGACUCAAGAGGCAGGUUUGCUCUGUGUGACCACUCUAGAGGACCACAUUAAAGUGCCUGUGCUCCUUGUUUGUGCAGGAGCGAGUUUUCUUAACUCCAUCACUGGAUUCCAAUGGAGGAAAUAAAUUACUCAUGCAUGUUCUAAUGAUUAAAAAAUUUUCCAGUGUCUUGGCUGUCUAGUUCUCAUCUGUUAGGGGUUCCAUUACCAAGCAGUAAUUGUUACACUUUUGACUAGCUGGCUCAUACUAUUUAGAAAGUCAAGUGAAUGAAACAUUUGAGUCACUGGUUCUAGGCCAAAAAUUCAAAGACUAUGCUAUGCAAGACCACCUUUGGUAGUCAUGGGAGACAUGGUAGUUUUGAAGGACUCUCCCCGCACCCCCCAUUUUGUCUGAAUAACUUAAUAACUUAGCCUUGUGGACAAGGUCCUUUUAAACUAUCUGAACCUUGUUUUUCUCCUCUGGGCGAGCAGAAGGUAGUCAUGGUAAUGCCUGCUGUAGUUAUCUCUUACGACUGCCGAGAAAAUCAACUGUGAUCACAAAUCCGAAAGCUAGAGGGGCACCAUGCAGAUUUGUGUGACUGCUAGGGUUUAAAGACACUGUAGUAACAAUGAUGCUCAAAAUGACAAUUUUGAUCUGAAUUUUGGCUACAGUUGUGUAUGUGGGAACAUUAAAUGGGUACUAGACGCUUUUGUGUGUUAGUUACAGUGACAGAGUCGAAAGUGCAAGUUGUUAAAGGAACGGAUUUUGCUGCUUGACGUUAACGUCAGUAGAGGAAAGCAACUUGGAAUCCUGUUUUUGUUUAUAAAAGGGUUAAACAGUAGUUUCAGAAAAAGGAAUAAUAGAAAAAGAUGAAAAAUCAAGCAGGUAAUGAGAACAUGGGCUGAGAGAAAGCGGGGUGAAAUAAGGGGUGAGGGUAGGACUUGGUGCGUCUUCCUCUGACCCCGUUUCUUGUGCUAGAGCUGAGUCAGAGCUUUGGCUCCAAGCCUUGCUGGAUCUGCAACCGUGAGGCGGGAGAGCGUCGGCCAUGUGACUCACGGUCCCCAUGAAGUUAGCUAGUGGAGCAAAGCUGCAGUGAGACAGUUAUUUUCUCAGGCGUUCUCAUAAAGAGGCGUUCUCAUAAAGAACACAUGGAGGGCAGUACCUUACCAGGAUCCCAGUGGGAGAAGGCAGACAGUGUUUUUGAGGCUUUUACUAGUGGGAUUGCCAGAAGAAAAAUUAUAAAAAUAAUUUUUUUAAAACUCCCUGUUUUUGAGUUUGCAUUUUCCCCUUUAUUUCAAUUAUGGCUGAAUGUAUGCGUACCAUUAGGUUAGAAACGAGAACCCCCGUCACUACUGUGUCCUACAUCAGGGCACCUUAGGGGUACUGAACAGAAGUCUGGGGCUAUUUGCUGAGCGCGUGGAUCCAAGGGGAAGCAGCUUGCUCUGAGCCAGUUCUGUGGAGCACGGAGCCUGGUCCCAAUAUAACCACCGCUUGGCACUUGCAGCACGUUUCUAAUUGUGAGUUUAGUGUUGACUGUGCUGUGUUUUUUUGUCUGUGGAAGUGUAGAAAGCUAUUGAACGUGAUGCCGCCCUCUCCAUGGUAUUUGCUGUUUGUUUGUUUCGUUUUCACUGUGGAAGCUACUGAAAAGCCUACAGCAUUGGCUCAGAAAUUUGUAGAGAGCAGAUCUUCACACAUAAGACUUCCAGCAUUCACAAUUAGACUGCCUGCUCUGCUCCUCUCAUUAAGUAUCCCUAGCGCCCAGAAUGAGAAGACGUAGAAAAGCAUCAAUAUUUUUAAUCAAAUUUAAAUAACACAGAGCCUUUCGUUUUAGACAAGAUGGAAUUUCUAAGCAUUAGCAAAGAAGCCUGUGGGAAUUUUUGUGGCUUUCUUAUAUUGCACACUCGCGCACGCUCAUAGAAAGUGACUUCUGGUGUAACAGUUGCUCACAAGGUUCCUGUGCUAUGUUCAAGACUGACUAAAACAGUUUGUUCACCAGCAGCUUAGAAUAAACAGGUGGCCAAGAUCCAGAGGAGCUUGCUUCUCUGGAGAGAGGUUGGAGGAUGAGCCCCUUGUCAUCCAUCUGUGAUAGCAUCUUGUGUGCUCGAGGGACUUUUAACGUGGGGCAGUGGAUCGUAUUAGAUGCAGUAAGAGUCGGAAGACAUGCAUCUAUUUCAGUUAAAUUACUUGUUAAAACUGGGUACGAGUCUUGAGUCUUGGCACCCCAACGUCGAGUUAGUGAGCUGGGGCCUUCUGGCCAUGGAGAGGCCCAGUGGGCAGUACAGGUAUGAAUUCCUUUCCCAGUAUCUUCAUGAUUUGCAUCAUUCAGAUCAAUCUCAUGGCAACUUCAUAAGUAUAAAAGGUUGGCACUUGUGAGGUGGACGGAUCAGAGCUACAGAUACACACGAAGUGACCUUUAUCUUUCCUGGAAAGAUCCCAGCUCACCUAGGAAGGAGGAGGACUUCCCUCCACUUCUCUAGGGAAUGACACUCAACGGUGUCAACCUGGGGCUGCCCAUUGAUGCUCUUAGCAGAGGUCUUCUUUGCUCAACUCUUGCUCGGCAAACGCCACAUGAAGGGAACAAGAUGCCCAGUGUGGAACACGCCUCUUUCUAAUCUUCUUGUCAGCACUUGGUGUCUUUUCUCUCAAACGCAUGCACUUUCUAAGAUAGCUUGUUCAGAUAUCAAGCAUAUAGCAUGCUUGAAAAAACUCAAGUUGCCUUCUGUAGUUAAAAUAUAACAGAUACCUGUGUACUUGGUGUUUCUUAGACCUGUUCUGGUGAUGCUUCUGCUCUUUCCUUCUUGUAAGCCAGCACCGUUCUUUGACCUUCAUAUCCAAAAUCUUUCCUAGUGAAUGGUGCUUUGUGCAGGUGCUUGACAGUAGGGAGCAUCUGAAAGAUUGCGCAUCUCUGUCAAGCUCUGGCAUAAGGGUGAGGCAGAGUCACGGCUGGGUCUGUGUUGUAGGUGAAGAGUGUUAAAUGAUCCAUGAAAGAAACUAGCAGGUAAACACAGGGAGAACAUGUGUGCCUGUCCAUUUUCCAGGGCCUCCGAUGAGUCAGUGCAGGACUUUCUGGAAGGAUUGAGUCAUGAGUUGGACACACAGAAGAGGUGGUAGUGGGAAGGAACUUGGUGUUUGUUGGGGGAUUACAAGUCAGAGAGAUGCAAUAAAAAGAAAAAAAGAGGAAGAUUUUCUUCUUUCUGCAGGAGAAGAGCUGUGGCCCAUGAUGACUGAUGUUUUUGUAGCAUUAAGAGCUACAUAGGUACAUAAGUACCCUUUCAAAGUGCAUUCAGAUGUCACAUGUACCAGGGCACUGACCUUAGGCUGAGCAAAGGUAUUGAGACAGAGGUGCCUGCAGGUGACUCUGGCAACAUUAAUGAGGCUCCUUGGGGACAUGAGCUGAGCUUUCCCUCUUUCCUGCUCUGGUUCUGUCUACAAGCAGCUUAGAUGAGCCUGGCCUGCACUUCAAAGCUGUGCUCAUGGAAUCGAGCUUGAACUUGCCAGUGGGUAGCAUAAGAUAUUCUUGCAUUUGUCAUACAAAUGAGUAACCUAUAUCCCCAAAGAAUUGUUGCAUGGGAAAUUGAGGUAUUGUGGUCCUGGGUUCUUCUCUGACAUGGAGGCAAGCUGUGAGCUGGCCCCCGUUUCAGCUCUGUCUGUGUGGGGAGGUUUGUCUAUGAAUUUGGGAGUUCCUUUCUAGAGAACACAGAGGUGGUAUCCGCUAUUGGGACUCUUUCUGUGUAAGAACUGAUGUCUUGAUUCCUGGUUCAUCUGCUUGGUCUUUUCCCCCUUUGCUAGCACUUAAAUUGCUAUUCUGAACUAUUCCUGCCCCUGAAGUUUCUAUUCUGUUCUUACCCUCGUCUCUUACAUCUGAGCUACAUACAGGCAAGUAUUGGUUUUUCAUCCCCUGGGCUGGUGGUUCUCUCUUCAGACAUUUCUUUGAUGGUAAAAGAAGGUUGGGAAAAAAAUGUAGAUACCUGAAUUAGAUAUAGACAAAUUUCAAAGCACUUUAUCUCUAAUUCAUCUUUAUAUUCCUACUCGUCUAAAGAGAAUGGGAAAACAUAAUUUCUAUCCUUUUCACGGGUCUUGUACUAUACAUGUGCUUCCCACAUGCUUGAGAGGCUAAGAAAAUGCCAAAUAAAAAUAUUUCUUUUUCUUUCCACAGGACACCCCUCACACACCCUUCUUACCUUGUAAAACAUUUUAUAGAAAAGAUACAAAAUAACAUACUGAGUUUGAGGCAAGCGUGGGCUACACGGUCUCAAAAUAUGUAAGAAACCCAAAAUCUUAAAAGAUUUUUCUAUAUGGUCAUAACCCAGAUUUUCUGAAUUUUAGCAUUUUAUUUGCUCGAUUUUUGCCUUAUUGUUCUAUCUCUUUGUUCAAGAGAAAUGUCAAGUGGCUUGACCUACAUGUAUACGACUUCCACGCAGUCAUUUGAGGAUAAGUGGCAGACAUGUUGUUUCAAUACUUGGAAAUACUUCAGUGUACAUUCCUUGUUGGAGAAGAAAGAAAUCCUUUCCCACUUUCCUUUGUGCUCUGGGAUCCAGCUCAGGCCCACAUUUCCUUAGUCUCCUUUAAUCAGGGAUGGCGGCUCAGUGCUUUUCUCCUUAUUAGCCUUUGGUGGCACAGCAGUGUGGAGAGCACUCAGCAGCGUGCAGGUCCGCUCACUGUGUCCGUGUCUUCCCUGUGGAGGCCCAGGCUGCAUGCUGUGGGUAGAUGUACUCCAGACAAGACGGCUGUUAAUGCUCCAGACCAAGAAGCGAUGAUCUGUCCUGUGCUGGUGACGGUCACCUCCAUCCAUUGGUUAAGAAAGCUGGGGCCAUAUUUCUCCACUGCAGACUUAAUAAAUGUUUUGUGCCUACUAACUUAUAAGAGAUUAAUAAAAUGGGGAUGAAGAGAUUAUUGCUAUUCCAGCUAUCAUCAGACUUUGGCCCUGUCUUGUUUUGCACUCAGUAUUUUCCAGUUCUGUCAUUUCUUCUAAGUUUAUUAAUUUUAUUCCAAAAUAAAAAAUGAUACUAUUUGCUUACGGAUUUUAACUUUUUAGGUUUCUUUUUCUUUUUUAGCACACUGUGAUGGUGCAUUGCGAGCAAUGUUUAUUUUGUUAGUUGAAAAGCUCUACCAACCUAUUGAGCCUACUCCAUAGCAAAGGAGAGCGAACUCAGGAGCCUUCCACUGUUACUUGAGUAUUUGCAAGGCAGUCCCUUUUUUUCACGCGUGCUGAAAGCAAGUGGAACAAAACAACAGUAGCUACUGGUGUGACAUUAGUAGGCAUUCUCUACUUUAAGCAUUUUGCAGCACAACACAAGAAUGGAUUUUUAGAAGGAAGACAAGGAGUGCUAGUCAGCUGAGGGAGGUGGAGAGCUUGCCUGUGACAUGUGCAGUUGACCAGCGGCGAGUAAAGCAAGGGUGGGGACUUGCUCACUACACCUGCUGUCUUGGAGAGGUUAGAGCCCGGGAGAGAGCUCACAUAGCAAGGGAACAAAGAAACUGAGCAAACCAAAUCAGAAUAGAAGCAGGGUUCCUACUGUCAGGGAAAGAAGCUAGUGAGGAAAGAUGUAAAAUGAGAAUAAAACUCGGUGGGGUUGACAAAGAUCUGGAGGACCUCAUGCAAUUCCUGUAUUUUAGAGUCUGUGCGUAGAUAGAUACAGGUAUGAGAGAUACCCAGGUAUGCAUGUGUAUGAUAUGCAAGGUAAAUGGGUUUAAGUUAUUUGCUGGGUCUCCCUCCUAAGAGCGCCUCUGUAACAAUGAAUAUGUCUAUCACUUGUUUUAUAAAAACUACUUCAUGUGCAAA